AGCGUUAACUACGCCCGGCACGGGGCUUGUGGGGUGGGAGGCGGCGGCGGCAUGAGGCUCGGGGCCGUCUCCUGCGGGAGCGAGGCGCUGCCGUCGGCCUGGCCGCUCCCGCUACAGCUGCUUGCCGGGCUGGCCAGGCCCUGCUUGCGGGGUUCGGGCCACUCACGCCCCGGUCGCCUCCCGUGCCGCCACUGGUGACCACUCGCCGUGCCGCCGCCGGAAGCUUCACCCGCGCCCUCCCUCAGGACGCUCCCGCGGAGCUCCGGCCCUUUCGCCCUGGUCGCGGAGGCCGCGCUGCCUGCCGGGCUGCGGCGAGGUCGGAAGAUGGCCUGGGUGCUGAAGAUGGACGAGGUGAUCGAGUCCGGGCUGGUGCACGACUUCGACGCCAGCCUCUCGGGCAUCGGGCAGGAGCUGGGCGCCGGCGCCUACAGCAUGAGUGAUGUGUUGGCAUUGCCCAUUUUCAAGCAGGAAGAUUCCAGCCUUCCAUUAGAUGGUGAAACUAAACACCCACCAUUUCAGUAUGUGAUGUGUGCUGCAACAUCACCAGCAGUAAAACUGCAUGAUGAAACACUCACUUAUUUGAACCAAGGUCAGUCUUACGAAAUUCGGAUGCUGGAUAAUCGGAAAAUGGGAGAUAUGCCUGAAAUUAGUGGAAAAUUGGUAAAGAGCAUAAUAAGAGUUGUAUUCCAUGACAGACGGCUACAAUAUACAGAGCAUCAGCAACUUGAAGGUUGGAAGUGGAAUCGCCCAGGAGACAGACUUCUCGAUUUAGAUAUUCCAAUGUCUGUGGGAAUAAUUGACACUAGGACAAAUCCAAGCCAGUUAAAUGCAGUAGAAUUUCUGUGGGACCCUGCAAAACGCACAUCUGCUUUCAUUCAGGUACACUGCAUCAGCACAGAAUUUACUCCACGAAAGCAUGGAGGUGAAAAGGGCGUGCCUUUUAGGAUCCAGGUUGACACCUUUAAGCAGAAUGAAAAUGGGGAAUACACGGAUCAUCUGCACUCAGCUAGCUGCCAAAUCAAAGUGUUUAAGCCUAAAGGAGCAGACAGGAAACAAAAAACAGACCGAGAAAAGAUGGAGAAGAGAACUGCUCAUGAAAAAGAAAAAUAUCAGCCAUCCUAUGAUACCACAAUCCUCACAGAGAUGAGGCUUGAGCCUAUAAUUGAAGAUGCAGUUGAACAUGAGCAGAAAAAGUCCAGCAAGCGGACUUUGCCAGCAGACUACGGUGAUUCUCUGGCAAAGCGAGGCAGUUGUUCUCCGUGGCCCGAUGCCCCCACAGCCUAUGUGAAUAACAGUCCUUCCACAGUGCCCACUUUCACCUCCCCACAGCAGAGCACUUGCAGUGUACCAGACAGCAAUUCAUCUUCCCCAAAUCAUCAAGGAGAUGGAGUUUCACAGGCCUCUGGUGAACAACUUCAGCCAUCAGCCACGAUUCAGGAAACACAGCAAUGGCUGCUCAAAAACAGAUUCUCUUCCUACACAAGAUUGUUUUCCAAUUUUUCAGGUGCCGACUUACUGAAACUGACAAAGGAAGAUUUAGUACAAAUUUGUGGUGCAGCUGAUGGAAUUCGGCUCUAUAAUUCACUGAAGUCAAGUUUAUCAUGCAAUCUACUUGGAAGAAAUGGUUGCCUCAGAAGUAGCUCGAAAACUUGCACUGGUCUUUAAAAUCCCUUUGCACCAAAUUAACCAAGUUUACAGACAGGGCCCUACUGGGAUUCACAUUCUCGUUAGUGAUCAGGUGGUUCAGAACUUUCAGGAUGAGAGUUGUUUUUUAUUCUACACAGUAAAAGCUGAAAAUGGUGGUGGUAUCCACAUAAUUUUGAAGUGAUGUUUCAUGCAGACUGAACUAUCUUCAGUACCAAAUACAGUCACGCUUAAAAGUGUGUGAAGACUGAAUCUAAGAAGUCUUGGAAUUGGAUUUUACCAUAUAAGAUGUUUCAUAUUGAAAACACAUGACCUUUCUAAUGCACUGUAUGAGAGGCGAAUCUCCUCGCUGUCACUGCCAUAGCCAAGCAUCCUUGUGAGAGCGAGCACGGGGACAGCAUGCAUCUGGCUCUGGAGACCACGGUGCAGGCAGAGCUACCUACUUCUCUGGCAGAGGCCAGCAGAUAACAGAGUUCCCAAAAGCAGCCUUUGCUGUCUUUUUCACACUGUAUGCGGUUUGGAAAUGAAUGUAAAGACUUACUGUGGGCAUCUGCCUUUCUGUGCCAGUUUGGCUUUUAUUGCCUGAACUUCAUGCUCACCUGGGGCGGGGGUGGGGACAGUGCUGCUGUGGAGAGCUGCGCUGUGCUGACACGGCGCACGGUGGUCAGGUAAGAGAGGCACUGCAACUGCUUGGAGGAAAUCCUGCCUACGGGUCCACAUCUGAUGCGAUCAUGCCAGAUCGGGGAAGAUCCAAGCCAGAAAGGUGGGCUUGAAGCAAACGGCCAUUACAGGAGUACCUUGAUCAGAGGAUCAAGUGUAAAUCUAAUAGGUACAAAGACUUUUUGUGUUUUUGCUUUGCCACAGAUUUAUUGAAAAACUUUUUGCUUCUGUUUCCAUUUUUUUAAAAAUUGUUUUAUUUUCAUUUUUGAAGCCCCAUUGCCUUUUUAACUCAUGUGGUUUUCUUUUUCUCCUUCCCUUACUCCAUAACAACCCCCCCCAUACAUCCUGCUUUGUUGCCUAUUUUAGACAUUUUUAAAGCCCUGCUCCAGACAUUGGAAACAGGUGACCUAAGCAGGGGGACAAAAAGUGUUACUGCUGGUAGCUUUUGACUUGGUGGUAAGGGGUCUCUGUUAUCAACAAGAUGAAAUAGUUUAUGGAACACUAGACGUCAUUAAUCAAACACUAAAAUGUACCAUAAAAACCCCUUACACCUCUCAAUAUGAGCUUUCGUACAAUCAUGGAUAACGUUCUGGUUAUUAAGUAGGGGUUUUUUAUACACCACAUAAUAAUAGCUUCUUUUCUAUAAAAAGAGUGCCUCUUUCACAGAACCAAAUGCUUGUCUGCCAGUGUCCUUUUCAAAGAGAAAUCCACAAUUUUCUCAUUUUUCUCCCAUACCUUUGUUUUCCCUUUACCCAGAGCAUUCCCAAAUUUCAUCAGCAAGCAUUUUUGAGGCCUGUGUGGUGUAGCAGACCUAAUUUAAAAAAAAUUAUUCCAUUUUAAUUGUAUAUCUAUUUGCACAGGUAUUUGGCUUUGAAUGUACUAUUUGGUCUUCCUCUCUUGUUCACGUGAAAACGGGGGUGAGAUUUUGAGUUUGAAUUCUUUCCCAGAAGACAAACCACUUUACUGGGUAAAAGCUUUGACAUUUUAUAUUUAUUUCAUAAGAGGGUUAAUUAUUGAUACAAAGAAGUACUGUCUCAAGGUAUUUCCAUCUUCAGUUUGAAAUAUCUGCAACUUCUGUAGACCCUAUAGAAAGAGAACUUUCCUUUCUGUCUUUUCCCCAUGCUUUUGUAUGACCACACGUUUUCUGUACCCAAUCACUUGGGAAAUAAGCGAGCUUCUCUCUCAAUCAUUUUAGAGUUUUGCUUGUCUGUUUAGCGUUCCUUUUUGAGGUCUCAAGAUAUAUGGAACAAUAAAUGCCAUUUAAUGCUGUGUGCUAUUUUGAACUCAUCAGGUUUUAGAAGUGGGGUAAAAAUACUUAAAAAGCUCAACAAACAUGAAAUUAUUAUAUGCGCGGUAUUGAACAUUAGUCUAUCCCAGUGAAAACAGGUUAAAUUAUGGGCACCAGCAAUUUGCAAAUUUGCUAUGUUUUUUUUUAAUAGGAUGUACACAUUUCCGUAUAAUAAAUGUUUUCCGAUUGUUUGCAGAAGUGUGUCUCAUUUAAACUCCCAGUUCCUGCCUUGUUCCAAGGGUCACCUCAAGUCCUGUGCACAUGACAGCAUCCAGGGCAGCGGUGUACGUGGCUUGUGAGCACUCAAACAGCCCAAAUGUUUUAAGAGGCUAGGCCCAUGUGGGGUUUUUUUCCUCCUUUCAGUUUGUUGGUCUCUCAGAACUGAUGCAGCUUGAGGACAGAUUAUUCAAGUAACUGUUUCACACUUAGUUUAAAGAAGAAUCAAAACUGAUUUUCCUCUAAAGAGGUUCUCCUAUUUUGUAAAUGACGUCAUGGGUCACUGAGUAGCAAGACCAGUACUAAUGUAGAGAAGGCUCUGGUCAUUUAAAUAAUAGAGACUUUAAUUAUUAAUCACCAAAGGAAGUUUGUGUUAUAUGCUCAUUUAUUUAAAAAUGGCUACCUGCAUCAAUCAUUUUUCCCCCACACAGUGAUAUAAAUGUUUAUUUUAAAAUAACUGCUAUAGUAUACGCACAAUAUACAAACCAAGAAAUACUGGAAUAUAUUGUAAGGCAAUAAAAUCAUCAGGAUUUUUAUACUUAUUCUGAUUAUCUGCUAAAUUGAUUUAUGGGGGUAUAUGUGUAUCUGCCUUCUCUUCCUAGAAUGCAGCUGAGGCAGUGUAUGUAUCCUUAAAAAUGCUUCUUCUAAAAAAUGUCCAUUUAGUGGAGGUGUUGCUAGUCAUGGAAAAAUUUCCUCUUGAUUUUGCUGUUCUAUUUCAGCUUCUCAUGAGUCUCUGGCUCUUCACUUCGGGGAGUGGUUGCUAGGAAGGGUCAGCUACCACUAACAUGCAAGUUCACAAUGAAGGUGGUGAUGGGUCCCUAGUCUUCAAUCAAGAUCAGAAAUGUGGACAGCACAGAGCAAGAGUCAGCCACAGCAGAAAGGAGAUCAACUUACCAGAUUUCAGACAUUAGGAAGGUCUAAAUUUAAAAAAUGCUUUUGCUCAUAUCUGUCUGCCAUAAAAUUAUAGCAUAAACCCAACUUAAUUUUUUCUUAACAUUGCAAUGGUUUAUUUAUUUUAUAUUAUGAGUCAAAGGUGCCAAACAUUUACUGAAUCUGAGUUUUAAGUGGUAAAAUUUUGAAUAGU